rnacentral:lncRNA from 1 species
CUGGAAGGUAAGUAACACAGCCGGGUCCUGGAAGGUCAGUAACACAGCCGGGUCCUGGAAGGUAAGUAACACAGCCGGGUCCUGGAAGGUAAGUAACACAGCCGGGCCCUGGAAGGUAAGUAACACAGCCGGGUCCUGGAAGGUAAGUAACACAGCCGGGCCCUGGAAGGUAAGUAACACAGCCAGGUCCUGGAAGGUAAGUAACACAGCCAGGUCCUGAAGGCAACAGGUCCUGAAGGUCAGUAACACAGCCGGUCCUGAAGGUAAGUAACACAGCCGGCCCUGAAGGUAAGUAACACAGCCGGGCCCUCUGAAGGUAAGUAACAGCCGGGCCCUGAAGGUAAGUAACACAGCCGGGUCCUGGAAGGUAAGUAACACAGCCGGGUCCUGGAAGGUGGCAACACAGCCGGGUCCUGGAAGGUAAGUAACACAGCAGGGUCCUGAAGGUGGUAACACAGCCGGCCCUGAAGGUAAGUAACACAGCCGGGCCCUGAAGGUAAGUAACACAGCCGGGUCCUGGAAGGUAAGUAACACAGCCGGGUCCUGGAAGGUAAGUAACACAGCCGGGUCCUGGAAGGUAAGUAACAUAGCCAGGUCCUGGAAGGUAAGUAACACAGCCGGGUCCUGGAAGGUAAGUAACACAGCCGGCCCUGGAAGGUAAGUAACACAGCCGGGCCCUGGAAGGUCAGUAACACAGCCGGGCCCUGGAAGGUAAGUAACACAGCCGGGUCCUGGAAGGUAAGUAACACAGCCGGGUCCUGGAAGGUAAGUAACACAGCAGGGUCCUGGAAGGUAAGUAACACAGCCGGGCCCUGGAAGGUAAGUAACACAGCCGGGCCCUGGAAGGUAAGUAACACAGCCGGGUCCUGGAAGGUAAGUAACACAGCCGGGUCCUGGAAGG